UUUUUGUGUGUGUCUGCAUGGAGUGGGAGUGUGGUUGGGUUGUGGGGGAAGGUGUAGCAAUUUAGCUCUAAAGACUAGAUAUGAAGGCUUUUGCACAAGGCCGAUCCUAUUCCAAGGUACUUGGCUCUUAAUCCAAUUUAGCUUCACAAACCUCCAUGUUAUGUGCUUAUUGUCAUGCUGCCUUUGACAUCACCACAGUCAGAGAGCGCAUUGAUGAAAAUCAGCAAAGACAUAACAUAUAGAGGAGGUUAUUGACUACUUCAGAAAGCACCAAGUUGGUCUGUGUUUUGUUUUCUUGUGUUCUUUAUUAGAACAUGUAUAUCUAUGUAGCUCUUUCCCAUGAUCAACAUAAAGAAUGUGCCUACUGUGUUGGAGCUUGCAUAGGACUUGCUCGUGUACAAUUCAAAGAGGUAUGGCAUCAGGAUAUUCCUUUAUGUUCUAUUCGACUCGAGUUUGGUUGGGAUCAACUCAUGAUGUAUUAGAGUCGACUCUGUAAUGUCCGGGC
rnacentral:lncRNA from 1 species